CGCUAGCUACAGGCUUAACACAUGCAAGUCGAGGCCCUGCAUGGUCUUAGCUUGCUAAGGCCGAUGGCGACCGGCGCACGGGUGAGUAACACGUAUCCAACCUGCCGUCUACUCUUGGACAGCCUUCUGAAAGGAAGAUUAAUACAAGAUGGCAUCAUGAGUCCGCAUGUUCACAUGAUUAAAGGUAUUCCGGUAGACGAUGGGGAUGCGUUCCAUUAGAUAGUAGGCGGGGUAACGGCCCACCUAGUCUUCGAUGGAUAGGGGUUCUGAGAGGAAGGUCCCCCACAUUGGAACUGAGACACGGUCCAAACUCCUACGGGAGGCAGCAGUGAGGAAUAUUGGUCAAUGGGCGAGAGCCUGAACCAGCCAAGUAGCGUGAAGGAUGACUGCCCUAUGGGUUGUAAACUUCUUUUAUAAAGGAAUAAAGUCGGGUAUGGAUACCCGUUUGCAUGUACUUUAUGAAUAAGGAUCGGCUAACUCCGUGCCAGCAGCCGCGGUAAUACGGAGGAUCCGAGCGUUAUCCGGAUUUAUUGGGUUUAAAGGGAGCGUAGAUGGAUGUUUAAGUCAGUUGUGAAAGUUUGCGGCUCAACCGUAAAAUUGCAGUUGAUACUGGAUAUCUUGAGUGCAGUUGAGGCAGGCGGAAUUCGUGGUGUAGCGGUGAAAUGCUUAGAUAUCACGAAGAACUCCGAUUGCGAAGGCAGCCUGCUAAGCUGCAACUGACAUUGAGGCUCGAAAGUGUGGGUAUCAAACAGGAUUAGAUACCCUGGUAGUCCACACGGUAAACGAU
rnacentral:rRNA from 1 species